UGAACAUUUUUGUGUCACUGAACUCAAGGGGACACAAUGGUUAUUCAAGAGGGUGAUAAUAUUUUCCUUGGUCAAACAUAAGAUUUUUUUUUUCCUAAGAAGAAAAAUGGUGUACCAUAGCCAAAGGCAUAGCUUCUGGGCCUUUGCCUAGUAAAAAUUGCUCCAUGACUGAGAAUUUUUGCUAGCUGUCAUAGAUCCUUGAACAAGGCCUCAAAAAAAGUUAGCUGUUGGUUGCUAUUAUGGUCUGGCAUCCUCCUAAUCUAACCCUGGAACUGGGCGGCUGACUAAGCAGUAUUGCUCACUGAUACCCUAGCUCCUCGAGAUAAAAUAAACAGAGGCAAGUAGGUACUUCCAAAGUUAUCCAUUUCUCCUAAGAGGACUGUGGGACAGCAGCCAAAGAACAAGCAAGCUAUCCCACAAGAUGAGAAGACAUGAUGGACUCUGUCUAGAAGAGAGUGGGGCAGAAGUCUUACCAACUGUGGUCUUUGCUAACCCGGAUAUACUGAGAAUGGAGUAAGAAAAACAAUUAAAAUGAAGAUUAUCAUCAUCCUCUAACCCAGAUCAUAGAAAAGCACCAGACCUGCUUCAUAAACGGAGACUUUAAGAAACUGUUGAAAGAGAAACAAUAGGUACGACCCGAUCUAUAGUUGAAAUGGAAAUUCCUCAAAAUUGCAGAUAAGCAGGCCUUUGCAAAUCAGCUGUGUACAUGAGUGCACAAUCUCACACACAGGAGGUGGAUGGAGGAUCUUAAGUUUGAGGCCAGCCUGAUACAGCGAGACCCUCGCUUUAAACAAACCAAAACAAAAAGGAAAGAAAGAAAAUCUACUUGUUUGUGUUCAUUUUCUUCCCUUUGAAAAAUCAGAUGUUAACAAAC
rnacentral:lncRNA from 1 species